ensembl:lncRNA
UGGGGUGCAUCUUAUUAACAGGCUUUUUGAGGAGUCUGUAGCUGUCAGCUCUUCUAAUCUGUUAAGUGAAGGUUUUAAGAGGCAUGGAUAUUGGUACUACUUGUUUUCUUCCCUGUGAAGGUAAAGAAGUUGCAGGAGAGUACUGAGCUGUCCUUACCUGGGAGGCAAUGCACUUCCAUGCCUGUCUCAGGCACUGGCUGUAUAACCUGGAGCCACUCUAGUGCUGGUGUGGCUGGACUAACUGCAGUGCAGUGUUAACAGCCACAGGAAAACAGAGCUGUACUUGCUGCUGCCCUUUGCUGUGCAUGGAAAGUAGUAGCUUUAACCAAUGGAGUGUCAGCUCAGCUGAGAAUAUAAAGGAUCUGCUCUUUCAUGUACGUGUUUGUUUCCUGCAAGCUGGAAAACCAUAAACAACUUGAGGGAGGCUGCCAAGAAGUGGCAUUUCCAUCAGGAGCUG